rnacentral:rRNA from 1 species
AUGCUGGAUAAUCCAGGUCGCCCCGUUUGGCUCACCGGGCACUCUGCCGGCGCGUCCCUGGCGCUGCACGUGGGGACUCAUAUGGUGCUCAAGAAGGAGAUCAAACUCCCGACUUUCGCCUUCAACCCACCGGUGGCCAUACUUGGCUGGUUGCCCGUUCCCAAGCGCGUAAAGAAGCUCAUUGGACCGCUGAUCCCGUCCAAGCGCAAGCAAUCGUUGAAGCUGUGCAGUUGGACUCCGGUGCUGUACGUGCACCAAAGAGACUUCUUCUUUUGCAGGAGGAUCAUUGGUUGCUUGGAGAAGCCGACCAAGUUGGACAAGUGGGUCAUCAACCUGCCGUCCCUGACCAUGUGUGCCAACUCUGCCAUUGUCCAAGCCGGGGGAGAGCAGUGUGGACCACACAGCAUUAAACAGUGGUUUUGUCCCAAUAGCGAGCUCAACAUGACCUGUCAAGAUAUAACCUGUCAAAAUAUCCAAGAAUAUCGGAAGCAUAUUCCUCAGGCUCUCAGCCGGUUCAGCCUAGGCCAUGCUAGCAAGGGCUUACAUGCUAAAUAUCAGGGCUAUGAAUUUCCUCUCUUCAGCUCAGAUGUACCACAAGCACCCUACGUCCAUUAA